GACGAACGCUGGCGGCGUGCUUAACACAUGCAAGUCGAACGCUGAACCCGCUUCGGUGGGGGAUGAGUGGCGAACGGGUGAGUAACACGUGGGCAACCUGCCCCCGGCUCUGGGAUAACUCCAAGAAAUUGGGGCUAAUACCGGAUGUGACCGCUGGCCGCAUGGUCUGGUGGUGGAAAGGGUUUCCGGCUGGGGAUGGGCCCGCGGCCUAUCAGCUUGUUGGUGGGGUAGUGGCCUACCAAGGCGACGACGGGUAGCCGGCCUGAGAGGGUGACCGGCCACACUGGGACUGAGACACGGCCCAGACUCCUACGGGAGGCAGCAGUGGGGAAUAUUGCGCAAUGGGCGGAAGCCUGACGCAGCGACGCCGCGUAGGGGAUGACGGCCUUCGGGUUGUAAACCUCUUUCAGCAGGGACGAAGCGCAAGUGACGGUACCUGCAGAAGAAGCACCGGCCAACUACGUG
rnacentral:rRNA from 1 species